rnacentral:rRNA from 1 species
GGGUUGUGAGGUUAAGCGACUAAGCGUACACGGUGGAUGCCCUGGCAGUCAGAGGCGAUGAAGGGCGUGCUAAUCUGCGAUAAGCGCCGGUAAGGUGAUAUGAACCGUUAUAACCGGCGAUACCCGAAUGGGGAAACCCAGUGUGAUUCGUCACACUAUCAUUAACUGAAUCCAUAGGUUAAUGAGGCGAACCGGGGGAACUGAAACAUCUAAGUACCCCGAGGAAAAGAAAUCAACCGAGAUUCCCCCAGUAGCGGCGAGCGAACGGGGAGGAGCCCAGAGCCUGAAUCAGCAUGUGUGUUAGUGGAAGCGUCUGGAAAGGCGCGCGAUACAGGGUGACAGCCCCGUACACAAAAGCGCAUGUGCUGUGAGCUCGAUGAGUAGGGCGGGACACGUGAUAUCCUGUCUGAAUAUGGGGGGACCAUCCUCCAAGGCUAAAUACUCCUGACUGACCGAUAGUGAACCAGUACCGUGAGGGAAAGGCGAAAAGAACCCCGGCGAGGGGAGUGAAAAAGAACCUGAAACCGUGUACGUACAAGCAGUGGGAGCACCCUUUUGGGUGUGACUGCGUACCUUUUGUAUAAUGGGUCAGCGACUUAUAUUCUGUAGCAAGGUUAACCGUAUAGGGGAGCCGAAGGGAAACCGAGUCUUAACCGGGCGUUAAGUUGCAGGGUAUAGACCCGAAACCCGGUGAUCUAGCCAUGGGCAGGUUGAAGGUUGGGUAACACUAACUGGAGGACCGAACCGACUAAUGUUGAAAAAUUAGCGGAUGACCUGUGGCUGGGGGUGAAAGGCCAAUCAAACCGGGAGAUAGCUGGUUCUCCCCGAAAGCUAUUUAGGUAGCGCCUCGUGAAUUCAUCUCCGGGGGUAGAGCACUGUUUCGGCUAGGGGGCCAUCCCGGCUUACCAACCCGAUGCAAACUGCGAAUACCGGAGAAUGUUAUCACGGGAGACACACGGCGGGUGCUAACGUCCGUCGUGAAGAGGGAAACAACCCAGACCGCCAGCUAAGGUCCCAAAGUCAUGGUUAAGUGGGAAACGAUGUGGGAAGGCCCAGACAGCCAGGAUGUUGGCUUAGAAGCAGCCAUCAUUUAAAGAAAGCGUAAUAGCUCACUGGUCGAGUCGGCCUGCGCGGAAGAUGUAACGGGGCUAAACCAUGCACCGAAGCUGCGGCAGCGA